GACGAACGCUGGCGGCGUGCUUAACACAUGCAAGUCGAACGGAAAGGCCCUGCUGUUGUGGGGUGCUCGAGUGGCGAACGGGUGAGUAACACGUGAGUAACCUGCCCUUGACUUUGGGAUAACUUCAGGAAACUGGGGCUAAUAACGGAUCGGAGCUCCGCUGGAUGGGGGGGGUUGGAAAGUUUCGGCGGUUGGGGAUGGACUCGCGGCUUAUCCGCUUGUUGGUGGGGUAGUGGCUUACCAAGGCUUUGACGGGUAGCCGGCCUGAGAGGGUGACCGGCCACAUGGGGACGGAGAUACGGCCCAGACUCCUACGGGAGGCAGCAGUGGGGAAUAUUGCACAAGGGGCGGAAGCCUGAUGCAGCAACGCCGCGUGCGGGAUGACGGCCUUCGGGUUGUAAACCGCUUUCGCCUGGGACGAAGCGUGAGUGACGGUAAUGGGUAAAGAAGCACCGGCUAACUACGG
rnacentral:rRNA from 1 species